rnacentral:lncRNA from 1 species
GCCGCAGCUGCCUAGCAGCGUUUGCGGCAGCCGUGGCUGGCCAGCAGUUCUUCUUCUUCGGCACCUCCCCAUCGUGGGGGCGGAGGUAUUCCCGGCGGCGUGGAAGGGGGCGGGACCGAGGCGGCCGCGGGAGGGGGCUCGGAAAGGGGCGGGCCGUGGCUGCCGGUGGCCGCAGUGGGCCAGCUGUUCCUCUUCUUCGGCACCUCCCUACCAUGGGGGCGAGGGCAUUUCCGGCAGCACAGAAGGGGGCGGGGCCGUGGAAGCCACAGAAGAGGGCUUGGGAGGUUGCAGGCGCAGGAGGGGGCUUGGGAGGGGCCGAGUUGUGGCCGGCGGCGACCUUUUUCUUCUCC